rnacentral:rRNA from 1 species
AACGAACGCUGGCGGCAGGCUUAACACAUGCAAGUCGAACGCAUCGCAAGAUGAGUGGCAGACGGGUGAGUAACGCGUGGGAACAUACCCUUUUCUACGGAAUAGCUCUGGGAAACUGGAAUUAAUACCGCAUGAUACUUAAGGGUUAAAGCAGGGGCUCGAAAGACCUUGCGCUAUAAGAUUGGCCUGCGUCUGAUUAGCUUGUUGGUGGGGUAAAGGCCUACCAAGGCGAUGAUCGGUAACUGGUCUGAGAGGACGACCAGUCACACUGGGACUGAGACACGGCCCAGACUCCUACGGGAGGCAGCAGUGGGGAAUAUUGGACAAUGGGCGGAAGCCUGAUCCAGCAAUGCCGCGUGUGUGAAGAAGGCCCGAGGGUCGUAAAGCACUUUUGUUAGGGAGGAAGGAGUGUGCGUUAAUACCGCAUGCAACUGACGUUACCUAAAGAAUAAGCACCGGCUAACUCUGU